UAGAGUUAUUAUAAGAGAAUGGGAAAAAUAGAAUUAGGUUUUUAGUGCUGUCAGAAGAAAGAAACAUAAAAGGUUGGAGAAGAGAAAAGAAGAACGUAGAAUUUGGGAAAGAGAGAAAGCUGAGUGAGGUGGAAUUUCAACGGCAAGAAAACUCAACGAACGAUUUCGAGGUGACAAGGAAUCGAGUAGCUGAGGUAUGGAGCGAUGCCUAGUAUUGCGUAGUUCGAGUCGGGUUCUGCUCUGAUAUGUAACACUCGGGGAUGAACGCUUGUUUUUGCAAUUCUUUUAUUAUGAUUCGUUUUUGGGAAGUUUUUGAGAUGAUUAUGAACUCCUUGAUUGUGUUGAAACUGUUGGUACUUUCCGUCCUUUUUAAAGACGAUAAUUACUAUGCA